rnacentral:rRNA from 1 species
UACGAAGGGGGCUAGCGUUGUUCGGAAUGACUGGGCGUAAAGCGCACGUAGGCGGCUUUGUAAGUUAGAGGUGAAAGCCCGGGGCUCAACUCCGGAAUUGCCUUUAAGACUGCAUCGCUAGAAUUGUGGAGAGGUAAGUGGGAUUCCGAGUGUAGAGGUGAAAUUCGUAGAUAUUCGGAAGAACACCAGUGGCGAAGGCGACUUACUGGACACAUAUUGACGCUGAGGUGCGAAAGCGUGGGGAGCAAACAGG